rnacentral:misc_RNA from 1 species
GUACCCUCAAGCUUUGCUUGGUGUUGGGCGUCUUGUCUUGUAUUAGACUCGCCUUAAAGUCAUUUGGCAGCCAGUGUUUUUGGUAGUAAGCGCAGCACAUUUUGCGUCUUAGUCCUUGAAUCGUGGCAUCCAUGAAGCCUUUUUUCAC